rnacentral:tRNA from 1 species
GGGGUUGUGGCUCAGUGGUAGAGCACUUGCCUAACAUGUGCAGGACCCUGGGUUCGAUCCUCAACACCA